CCUACGGGAUGCAGCAGUCGAGAAUCAUUCACAAUGGGGGAAACCCUGAUGGUGCGACGCCGCGUGGGGGAAUGAAGGUCUUCGGAUUGUAAACCCCUGUCAUGUGGGAGCAAAUUAAAAAGAUAGUACCACAAGAGGAAGAGACGGCUAACUCUGUGCCAGCAGCCGCGGUAAUACAGAGGUCUCAAGCGUUGUUCGGAAUCACUGGGCGUAAAGCGUGCGUAGGCUGUUUCGUAAGUCGUGUGUGAAAGGGGCGGGCUCAACCCGCGGACGGCACAUGAUACUGCGAGACUAGAGUAAUGGAGGGGGAACCGGAAUUCUCGGUGUAGCAGUGAAAUGCGUAGAUAUCGAGAGGAACACUCGUGGCGAAGGCGGGUUCCUGGACAUUAACUGACGCUGAGGCACGAAGGCCAGGGGAGCGAAAGGGAUUAGAUACCCGGGUAGUC
rnacentral:rRNA from 1 species